CUGUGAGUUUUAUAAAAAGAGUCAAAUGAUCCUAGGAUGUCCAAGACAGAUUUAAUUUGAAUCCAAGAAGUGAAAAUCCUUCAUGUUGUUUCUGUUUGAUUUUCUUCUAUUGCAAUAAGAUGAUGAGAGUUUUAAAUCCAGUAUCUAUUAGUGUUGGUUCAGUGUCUCUGUUUGUCUGGUGCUGAGAGCAGAGAAAUGAUUUCCAUAGAGUGGAGGCUUUGCAUGGUCAGCUGAUCCUCCAGUGAACUGAGAAGGUUUAUAGUCCUGUGAGUUCAACACUGCAGGACUCAGAUCUGUCAGUCAAGCCAGCAGAAGCAACAAGCACCAUGACCCUCAUCACCAUCCUCAUCUGGACGCUGAGCUGCUGCUGUUUUACAGGAUGCAGAGCUCAGAUCACUGUGACUCAACCUGCAGUGAAGACGAUUACACCAAGAUCCACUGUCACUAUCAACUGUACAACAAAUCAGGAUGUUUACAGUGAUUUAACCGGUGAGGGUUUGAACUGGUAUCAGCAGAAACCAGGACAGCCUCCAAAGCUCCUGAUAUAUUCGGUGGAUGAUCUCCAGUCAGGAACUCCAGCUCGGUUUAGUGGCAGUGGAAGCGGCUCUGACUUCACUUUGACCAUCAUUGAAGUUCAGGCUGAAGAUGCUGCAGUUUAUUACUGUCAGAGUGAACAUGAAACAGAUGAUGGCUACGUGUUCACACAGUGAUUAUUAGUCGUACAAAAACCUCCCUCAGUCAGACUGCAGACACUCUGAGC